rnacentral:rRNA from 1 species
CGGGGGGGGCAAGCGUUGUUCGGAAUUACUGGGCGUAAAGGGCGCGUAGGCGGCCUGUUAAGUCGAACGUGAAAUCCCCAGGCUCAACCUGGGAACUGCGUCCGAUACUGGCAGGCUUGAAUCCGGGAGAGGGAUGUGGAAUUCCAGGUGUAGCGGUGAAAUGCGUAGAUAUCUGGAGGAACACCGGUGGCGAAGGCGGCAUCCUGGACCGGUAUUGACGCUGAGGCGCGAAAGCCAGGGGAGCAAACGGG